ensembl:snRNA U6 U6 spliceosomal RNA
AUGCUCACAUGGGUGACAUAUAUACUAAAAUUGGAGAAAAAUAGAGACUUUUAACAUGGCCUCUGUGCAAGGAAAACAUGCAAAUUUAUGGAGUGGUCAUUAUUUUU